GUCUCCAUAAAGAUACUGCAAUUUGCAGUUUGGUUUUAAACUUUUUGAUUGUGAAAUAGGGGUUCAGUACAGUUUACUAUGCCUUGUAAGGCAUGCACACUGCUGCAGCAUGUGACCCCAGCGUGCCAGUACCACAGCCGCCCUCUGACCCUGCCACCCUGCUGCUCUGCUGCUGCACAGCACCCAAAUAUAGCCUUCCCCCGUCAGCCCAUUUUCUGUGUGUCUCUUUAGAUCACAUUGAUUUUUGAGGCAAUCUCAAAGUUUUGAUUGGUGCUGUGGGUCCUUGUUCACUGAAAAUCACUUUUUAAGUUGUUUACUAAGAUCUUUAAUAAAGAAUCCUAUUUUUGUGACAAGACCUGGUUUCAAGUGGCUUCUGACACAUGGUGUUUAAUUGAAAAUAGAUGUAACUUGCUUACAGCAUUUUUAGUCUCCAGGGAGUAAUGAUGCAACGAAAGUUCUGUUCAUUUUGAAAGGCUUGUUCUAUUGCUGGAGACUCUGGUCUGCUCUGUGUGAUUGGCAGUUGUGUUAGUGAUUGCAUUCUUGCAUGUUUCUGAAAGGACAUAGGGGCUAAAAUCAUUUUUACUUUGAAUAAAGGUUUCUUCCCCUGUCUGUCUUCAGUUUCCCACAGCCUCCUUCCUCAGCUUGACUGAAAGACCAAGUUUUCCCAUAAUCUGCUGCUGGAUAUUUGGGUAUUUUGCUGAGAUUUCUAUUUUGACACCAAAGUGGUGCCAGUCUCCUGAAAAACAGGGAAUGUGUUCCAUCUUCUAGUCUUUUCUACAGCACUUUCAGCCACAUGAUUUCUGUGUUGUAAAUUAUUAACUUUUGAACACAGGGCUAUUACUACCUCUCUCUCUUCUGCUGCCUGUUGAGUUGCAGAGUUGCUUUCAUUGGCAGCGUGCACUGAGGAAUCAUCUUGGCUGCUUCCAGCCCUGAAAUUGUAGUACUUUAUCCCAUUACAUGGUGAUUUUUUCCAGCUCAUUUCUCCUGAGAACCUUGAAAUGCCUUUUCCGUAAAACUAGUCCAUCCGCUCUUUUUCUUGUAAAGGCUAUAGUCAAAUUUGAAGGGAUAAUCCAGCUAUUGUUUCUCGUGGUGUGUGUGUUCUGUGCUGAUGAUUUUGUUAAAUUAUAGAGGAUUUUUAUGGUGCAAGUCUGGGUCACUGAGAACUCGGUGAUUUCUUGGAGCAAGAUUGCGUGUUCUUUAGGAACAAGCUGACGUACAUCAUUAGCUUCUUCACUGAUGGAAGCUGUCCAUGAAAAAGCAUACACUUCCUCUGUUUUUAAUCUGCACAAGCACUCCAUGAGCUUGCAGUAAGGUGUAAUAAAGGGUUUAGAUGUCUUAUACCCACAUUUCCUCAGUAGCUCAAAGUACCAUCAUUGGGAAUGCAUACCAGGUGCAUUUUCCUUUGUGACUGCCAGUUUUGCCUUCCUUUCUCUAUAGCUGUGGUGAGUAUUGCCUGAGACACAGAGCUGUUGAAUUUGGGCUGCCUGACUUUCCAGUAUAGUACUUUCAAACUGCUUGGGCCCUCAUGUUCGUUGUGGUUUGAGAUGGCCAAUAUUUGUCAGGAAAGAACAAAUGAACCAGUAGCUAUUCAGAACAAGACUUCACUUACAUUGAAUAAGCAUGAGAAGCCAAGAUGAGAGAGGUGAUUAAAUACUUGUCCUCAAUUGGUCUUACCCUCAGAAGCAGUCCCAUGAAAAAGGCUGUGGGAGGCAUUACAUGCAUUGUCUACUUGCACAAUAAAAACAAGCUUUAACAGUUGUUCCUACCAUAGUGAAGUAAUCCUCUUAAAGCAAAAAUAUUUGUAGGUUUUAUACUCAGAAUGUCUCUGGUUUGGUAAGAGCAAGAUACAGGAGAGACGUCAAAGAUACCAGAGACCUUUUUCUUUCUCUUUUCCAUCAAGAAAGCAGCUUCCUGCUAGAUGUAUUAUUUACUGUGCCCUAUUCUACUGGCUAACAUGGUGCUGAAUCCUAUAUUGUAGUCAAAACUGUUUUUGCAAGGGUUCUGGCAGUUUAAAACAGGCUACCAACAUUUCCUAGCAAACUCAAAGCAUUCAGCUGACUGACUUGUGAGUUACAGACCUGAACAACUUGCAGACAUCUGUCAUUGAGAUGUUGAGGAGAUGGCUGGUCAGGGCUUCCCGGGUGCUCUGACUCACAGCUCUCCACAAAAUCUCAAUCAUGUGAUUUAGCAAGGCAUAAAUAAGCCUGGGGUUCUUUAUAGGCUUAAUUACACCCAGUGAAGCAACGUCAUUUUCCUUGGGCAAGGAGCUGCCACAUUGCUGGGAAGUCAAAACCUUGCUGGGAGAACAGGAAGGUUCAAGCAGAGCCAUCAAAUUCAUGGGUCAAGCAGAAGGAGUGUGUGUGCUCAUGGCCCUGUUCUCUCUACAUGUGUACACUUCCACGGGAUUUAGUGGUGGGGUUUGUCUGUGAUGGUAAGACCGAACGAUUCCUUCUUUGCCAUCACUGCUCACUUAAUAAAUGACAUGAUCAAG